rnacentral:rRNA from 1 species
AUUGAACGCUGGCGGCAUGCUUUACACAUGCAAGUCGAACGGCAGCACGGGGGCAACCCUGGUGGCGAGUGGCGAACGGGUGAGUAAUGCAUCGGAACGUACCGUGUAAUGGGGGACAACGAGUCGAAAGAUUCGCUAAUACCGCAUACGCCCUGAGGGGGAAAGUGGGGGAUCGCAAGACCUCACGUUAUACGAGCGGCCGAUGCCGGAUUAGCUAGUUGGUGGGGUAAAGGCCCACCAAGGCGACGAUCCGUAGCUGGUCUGAGAGGACGACCAGCCACACUGGGACUGAGACACGGCCCAGACUCCUACGGGUGGCAG